ACGGAGGGUGCAAGCGUUAUCCGGAAUCACUGGGUUUAAAGGGUGCGUAGGCGGCCUGGUAGGUCAGGGGUGAAAGCUUCCCGCUCAACGGGAGAACUGCCCUUGAUACUGCCGGGCUCGAAUUGGGUUGAGGCCGGCGGAAUGUGGCAUGUAGCGGUGAAAUGCUUAGAUAUGCCAUAGAACACCGAUUGCGAAGGCAGCCGGCCAAGCCUUGAUUGACGCUGAGGCACGAAAGCGUGGGGAGCGAACAGGA
rnacentral:rRNA from 1 species